CAGCCGUAAACUAUGCGCGUUAGGUGUAUCGGUGACCACGAGUCACCGAGGUGCCGAAGGGAAACCGUGAAACGUGCCGCCUGGGAAGUACGGUCGCAAGGCUGAAACUUAAAGGAAUUGGCGGGGAGCACCACAACGGGUGGAGCCUGCGGUUUAAUUGGACUCAACGCCGGGAAGCUCACCGGAUAAGACAGCGGAAUGAUUGCCGGGCUGAAGACUCUGCAUGACUAGCUGAGAGGAGGUGCAUGGCGUCAGUGACU
rnacentral:rRNA from 1 species